AAAAGGAGGUGGUUGCUAUAUCACUCUCUCGAAUAUGUCAUAGAAUGAAAAACUUGAGCUAACAGUGAACUAUGCCAUUCGCAGAUCAUCAAACAAAUUGAAAAGAAAUAUGAGAAAAGUCAUUCGCAAAAUGACGACAAUCAAGAAUAAGGGCAUCAUAAUAAGAACUUGAGCCUCCUGGAUUUUAAUAAGCAGAAAUAGCAGUCAAGGCAUCUCUACAAUAUAUUUAAUUAUGUAUUCUAUCAUGGAAUAUCCUUUUGCCAUCUUUUAUGUGUGCAUGCAUUACUUGGAGAAUUAGUUGUCUUCUUUCUCUCUCAACUGGAGAAACUCUAGUAGUUCAUGCUAUACUUGGCCAACCGUUAACGAGAUGAAUAAAGAUGAUUUGAAGUUGAAGUUGGUGAAUACUCUCAAGCAGACAAAGUUCCCUCCAACUAGAGAUUGAAUAUUCUGAAAUUCAUCUUUAUGAUGUCAUAUUCACAGCACUCAUAGCAUUGUAGACUCUUUCGGUGGCUUUAUUUGCCUCAUGCUCCCAAUUAGAGCGAAUGGUAAUAGUUAAAAGACACAACACUUGCACAACGAGUGCACAUAUGAUCCCAAGCCAGAGACCCUUUCCACUAAUGUCAAGGACAAAAGCAAAUAAAAUUGCUGACGGAAUUCCAACUAAAUAAUAAGAUCCAAGAUUAAUAAAUGCACCAAUCUUCUGCCACCCACAUCCUCUUGCAAUGCCUGAAAGAACGCAUUGGAGUCCAUCUAAGAAGUUGGAUAUUGCAACAAUAGGCAUCAUCGUUGCCACAUAUUUGACCACCUGUAUUUCAUUACUAUAAGCAUAACCCCAAAUUCUGCGUAUGGCUAUCAAGAUUGAUCCAACCAAAAUGCCUUCUAUAAUGGCCAUUAAGACGACAAUGGAAACUGCUAAACGUGCAAGGUGAGGAUGCCCUGCUCCUAGUUCAUUUGAGACCCGAGUGCUCACAGCUCCACUAAGUCCAUAGGGGAUCAUCCAAACUGUUGCUGCUGUAUUAAGGCUAAUAGAAAGCACUGAUGUUUGCAACUCUGGAUCAGGAAGAAGACCGGCUAUAAGAACCAUCAUUUCAAAUGACCACAUUUCCAAACAAACCAUAACAGCCGAAGGGAUUGCAAGCUUCACGAAACUAAGGAUAUUUUGUAAGGCUUCCUUUGAGAAGCCUGCCCAAGUUUUUGCACAGGAAGGAGAGAAUUUGACAUAAAGAGCCAACAACAAUACAUUGAUCCAAUAAGAGAUUGAAUUUGCCAAAGCAGCUCCCAUACUUUCAAGCCCGGAUUUGAAUACUAGAAUCCAACACACCAGGAUGUGAAGCAAGGCCGUAAUUCCUGAGCAUAUCAUCAUUGGGAAUACGAUAUUCUGAGUCUGUAGGAAUUUAUUAAGGCAUUGAAGCAGGCCAUAUGCGAAUAGGCUAGGGAUCAUGAAACAAGCGUAUGUUCCAGCUUCCUCUGAUAUGGCUUCAUCUUGGCCAAAAGCAAUUAGAAUAGGUCUCGUGCAAGCCCAGAUGAGAGCAAGUGGUAUGCUAACUAGUAGAAGAACAAACAUGGCUUUCUGCAUGUGUAUGCCCAGCAUAUGAUAUUGCUUUGCUCCAUAUGAUUGCCCAGAGAAUGUAUCGAGUGCACUGGCCAUUCCCAACAGCAAGCUAAAACCGGUGACAGUGGCGAAGGAGGUGGCCAUUGAAGCACCGGCGAGGCUUAACUCACCAAGAUGACCCACAAACAUCACUGAUAUCAUCUGUAAGCAAAACUGCAAUAGACUCACAGCUACUAGAGGUCCGGCUAGCCAUAGUUGCUUCUUUACUUCCUCAACUAUUUCCUUUCUGCUCACACCCAUUUUUUCUUCAUCUUCUUCUCUAGCUCCAACCAAUGGCGAAUCUACUUCUUCUCUCUCCAUUAUUAUGAUUGUUUUCUUAUGAAUCCAAAUAUUUUUCCAAUUCUCUCUCAGAUAUUUUGUGAUCGAAUUUUCUCCCUUCUUGUUAACAGCUAUCAAGAACUCGAAUUUUAGAAAAGAAGAUAAAACAUUCAUAAAGGUUUAACAGAAAUCUCUUAAAAAUAAAAGUAAUAUUAAAUAAAAAAUAAUUUAUA
rnacentral:misc_RNA from 1 species